UGGGGAUAUGAAACAAGAGCAGGACAGCACUCCUUUUGAUAAGGAUGGAAGAAAUCUUAAUGGACUUAAUCACGUUAAGACUAUCACUUACUUUGAUACUUCUAAUUUAU
rfam:Colinus virginianus strain Texas jcf7180006226153, whole genome shotgun sequence.